CCCGAGUUUUGCAAAUUUUCCUCCAUCUUAGCCUCUACCUCAGGCUUCUGAUCACAAGAAACUAGUUCACUUCCUGGGAUUGAUGUCCCCUUUUCUCGAGCCACCGAGGAUCCUUGCCUUCAGCAACAUGCUCUGUUUUUGAAUCAUCUUCAUCCUCACUUUUAGAGACAGGAAACGACUGAAAUGCAUCCCAAUCAUCUUCACUAAACUCAUCUUCUUCCUUGUCAUUUUCAUCUGUCUGCAUCACAGCAGCAGAUGAUGGUAUGGUAUGUUUCUCUUCAGUUCCUUCCGAUGGCUUUGGCAUUUUUAUGUCCAAAACUGGUACUUUUAUAUCUGUUGGAUUUUUAUCAUGAGUUACAGAAGCUCGUAUUACACCCUGCACGUAGAUUAUAAUUAGAAAUUAGUGGGAGGAUAUUAUUUUAAUGGACAGAAAAAGAAAUUUAUCAUUUCAAAAAAUAUAAUCUACAUCAGGGUCUUUCAGAUGGUCAAUUAGUAAUUGUAGAAAAUCGCAAGAGGAUAUGCUAAUUGAGCAAAAUAAAUGCCAAUAAUCUGUUCACUUACACAUCCAUCAGUAGCAUAGAAGUACCUGAAGUUGCUGGCGGUGAAGAGGAGGCAUUGAUAGUAAAACAUCCUUGACAUGAAUGGCUGAUGAAGGAAUUUGAGCAAGGCGAGAAACAAGUUUAACAGUUGUGCUUCUUAAAUUAUUGACUUCCUGUCAUUUGUUCGCAUGAUCAAAAGAAUGUAUAAAAAAUAAAGAGCUAACUUCAGCAACAGAAAAUCCCAGUUCAUAUUACCUGAGAGAUCCCGUCUUCUGUUGACAAGAAAAUCAUGACAAUGGCCUCCAGAAGUAGGUUCAUAAAGCUUCUCUGGCAGUCAUCACCUUUUGACAAGGUUUGUAACAGCACCAGGAGACUCAAGCAUUCACUAGCAAUGGUUACAGAUUCUCUUGUUAUGGUAUUCUGUUAUCAAUACAAAUAUAGAAUCCUUUAGCUACACCGUGAAUUGCAAAGUUCACUAUUAACAGGAACUGAUGACAGUAUUAAUUGCACUAAGGGAAAAACAUAUGCAAGCAUUGCCUAUACCUUCAACAUUUUUUGGAUCAAAGUGAAAAUAUCAGCAAUUAGCUCCCCAACAAGAAACAUUAUAAAAGAGUUAUCUUCUGUAUUUACACCUCUUUGAAUCCUCGCUUUAAGAAAUUGCAAUCCUAUUACUUGAACCUGUUAAGAAGAAAGUUGUCAUUUGUAUUUCUUUCUGGGAAA